rnacentral:lncRNA from 1 species
AAUCACAGGUCUUUGUUUGGGAAAAAAAAAAAGGGUUUGAAAACUGAAAUUUACAGAUCGUGAUAGAAGAAUCGUGACCCACGGUCGGCAAUACCAGAAGAGGGCCUGGUUGUCGCGUGCCGACGAUAUGCCCUGCCGCCCCGCGCUCUCGCCGUGCGUUGGUCGACGAUGAAACCUCAACAAGCGCUAUCAGUGGUCGGAGGCGGGCGGCCGUUCGUUCGUCAAGUCACGGAAUCAGAAGGUUGGUAUUCGCGAUUCCAUCGAUGAUAUGAUAUCCAAGCUUGCCG